rnacentral:rRNA from 1 species
UAGGGAAUCUUCCACAAUGGACGCAAGUCUGAUGGAGCAACGCCGCGUGAGUGAAGAAGGCUUUCGGGUCGUAAAACUCUGUUAUUGAAGAAGAACGUGUGUGACAGUAACUGGUCAUGCAGUGACGGUAUUCAAUCAGAAAGUCACGGCUAACUACGUGCCAGCAGCCGCGGUAAUACGUAGGUGGCAAGCGUUGUCCGGAUUUAUUGGGCGUAAAGCGAGUGCAGGCGGUCUUUUAAAGUCUGAUGUGAAAGCCUUCGGCUUAACCGAAGAAGGGCAUCGGAAACUGGGAGACUUGAGUGCAGAAGAGGAGAGUGGAACUCCAUGUGUAGCGGUGAAAUGCGUAGAUAUAUGGAAGAACACCAGUGGCGAAGGCGGCUCUCUGGUCUGUAACUGACGCUGAGGCUCGAAAGCGUGGGUAGCAAACAGGA